rnacentral:rRNA from 1 species
AUUGAACGCUGGCGGCAUGCCUUACACAUGCAAGUCGAACGGCAGCGCGGGAGCAAUCCUGGCGGCGAGUGGCGAACGGGUGAGUAAUAUAUCGGAACGUGCCCAGUAGUGGGGGAUAGCCCGGCGAAAGCCGGAUUAAUACCGCAUGAGACCUGAGGGUGAAAGCGGGGGAUCGCAAGACCUCGCGCUAUUGGAGCGGCCGAUAUCAGAUUAGCUAGUUGGUGGGGUAAAGGCCUACCAAGGCAACGAUCUGUAGUUGGUCUGAGAGGACGACCAGCCACACUGGGACUGAGACACGGUCCAGACUCCUACGGGAGGCAGCAGUGGGGAAUCUUGCGCAAUGGGCGAAAGCCUGACGCAGCAACGCCGCGUGCGGGAUGAAGG